rnacentral:rRNA from 1 species
UACAGAGGGGGCAAGCGUUAUUCGGAAUUAUUGGGCGUAAAGGGCGCGUAGGCGGCUUGGCAAGUGGACGGUGAAAUCCCUCGGCUUAACCGAGGAACUGCCGUCCAAACUGCUUCGCUUGAGACCGGGAGAGGUGAGUGGAAUUCCCAGUGUAGCGGUGAAAUGCGUAGAUAUUGGGAGGAACACCAGUGGCGAAGGCGGCUCACUGGACCGGUACUGACGCUGAUGCGCGAAAGCGUGGGGAGCAAACGGG